UGUUCGGAAUUACUGGGCGUAAAGGGCUCGUAGGCGGCCAACUAAGUCAUACGUGAAAUCCCUCGGCUUAACCGGGGAACUGCGUCUGAGACUGAUGAGCUCGAGUGCAGGAGAGGAACGCGGAAUUCCAGGUGUAGCGGUGAAAUGCGUAGAUAUCUGGAGGAACACCGGUGGCGAAGGCGGCGUUCUGGACUGCAACUGACACUGAGGAACGAAAGCCAGGGGAGCAAACGGG
rnacentral:rRNA from 1 species